CUUACCUCGGUUGACAACCCUAGCCUCUGCCAGGUCGUGGUUCUGUUUAUUUGUACCACAAACACCGCCAUGGAGCGAUUCAUAAUACUACUUCUUCUCGUCCCUUACCUGUCAGGGUAUACCUUCGUCGAGGAGAACUCCUGUCCCUGUAGCCAACCGUUCCCCCUGCAGCCUGUGUGCGCUACAGACGGAAAGACCUACUGGAGCGAGGAGUGCGCGAAAUGCAUGAACCCAGCGCUCGUCAUCACCAGGAAAUGGUUCUGUCCACGGCUUGAUAUUGAGCUGGAAGGAUAAAUAAAACAUAGUAUAGUACUCGGCAGUAAGUGAAAAAACACUAACCCCCUUAUUCAAAGACGUUAUUAAACUAAGGACGGAGCAUUGUUGUGAUAACAAGUCUGUUUCUCAGCUUUGUUUAUCUAACAGCCAACUAAAUUCAAGUUGUAUCUAAAUAUUAGCCAAUCACAAUGGCCCUAUAUCUACGCACUGCGAAGGCUGCCAUGCCGUCAGCACUGAGAAACAGACUUAUUAUGACAGCAAUGCUCCGUCCUUAGAUGAAUAAAUAUAACUUAGGUGAAUAAAGGGGUAAGUCUUACUUAUAAACUCGUCUUAUGAUUUAGCGUUAAGAGGUGGUUAAGCAUUGCUUAAAUAGCUGUCAAAAUCAAACUUCGCCGGUGAUUAAAAGUUUAAGAGCAGACUAGUUAAGAUGUAAGCAUAGCUUUGCGAAAUUUUUAUAACACUGUAAGAUGUGUGUGGAAGCUAAACGACUUGAGUAUGGCUCAUAAUUUACAUUUAGUCGUUUGCGUUUUAUCGCCUAGCUGUCAGGUUAGCGAUAAUAAAUAAAUAUCGGCUGUGUAUUAUAUACUGUCCCACUGCUGGGCACAGGCCUCCUUUACUACUGAGAGGUAUGUACUGGUAGGCUUUAAUCCACCACGCUACAGCCGCUUAAUUAAAAUACAGCGCUAAAGACUUUAUUUUAUUUUUUCAUUUAGGAUUUAUUAUAAGUGACAAAGACGUUACCCUACAAAGCUGAAAUUAAAAGAUUGUCACUUUCUAAACUGAUGGUUUCACUCCCGUACUAUAAUAUAUCUAUGUCUGUAUGAAAACGUUUCUCGGGAUAAAUAUUUUCCCCGGAUAAAAAAUAGGAUACAGCACUCAGGAGUAAUGUAGCAGACUAUCAGAGAAAGAAUUUUUAAUAUCGAUUUAUUGUUUCCACAGUUUUGCACGUAUAAAUAAACACACAAACUUUUCCUCGUUAUAAUAUUAGUAUAUUUACUGGCGAGUACUGCAACCAUUUAAAACAUGUUUCGUUUUUUUAUUUCACACUGCAACAAAAAAAAAGUUCUUCUUAAGUUGGAGAUUUUUCGUAAUGGCUCAUAGUCUAUUCAUAGUUGUAUAAUUGUAUUAUUAAUUCUAUAUUAUGUCAAUAUGUGGAUAAUGGUGUGAGUUAAAUGUUUUUAUAUACAUUUAGAUUAAGAUUAGCCUUUAAUAUUCCUCAACAUGUAACCAUUUAUUGUCCCUACAAAUAAAAAUAUAACAGCUUUAUAAAA